AGAGUUUGAUCAUGGCUCAGGAUGAACGCUGGCGGCGUGUCUAAGGCAUGCAAGUUGAGCGACCCGCUUUGCUUCGGCAAAGUAGGGAGCGGCAAACGGGUGAGUAACACACUGGUAACCUACCUCUAAGACGAGGAUAGCCUGCCGAAAGGUAGGUUAAUACUCGAUGGCCAUAAUUGACUUAUGUUGAUUAUGUAAAGUUCCGACGCUUAGAGAGGGGCCUAUGGCUGAUUAGCUUGUUGGUGAGGUAAAAGCUCACCAAAGCAACGAUCAGUAGCAGGCGUGAGAGCGUGACCUGCCUCACUGGGACUGAGACACUGCCCAGACUCCUACGGGAGGCUGCAGUCAAGAAUAUUCCACAAUGCGCGAAAGCGUGAUGGAGCGACGCCGCGUGCAGGAAGACGCCCUUAGGGGUGUAAACUGCUUUUGUCAGGGAAGAAUUAGUGACGGUACCUGAAGAAUAAGAGGGUGCUAACUCCGUGCCAGCAGCAGCGGUAAUACGGAGCCCUCAAGCGUUAUCCGGUUUCAUUGGGCGUAAAGGGUCCGCAGGCGGUUUGGAAAGUUGAUGGUUAAAUUUUGGGGCUUAACUCCGAAACCGCCAUCAAUACUACCAAACUAGAGGCCGGGAGAGGCAAGUGGAACGCACGGUGUAGUCGUAAUAAGCGCUGAUAUCGUGCGGAACACCAAAUGCGAAGGCAACUUGCUAGAACGAGCCUGACGCUCAGGGACGAAAGCGUGGGUAGCGAAUGGGAUUAGAUACCCCAGUAGUCCACGCCCUAAACGAUGCACACUAGGUAUUGGAAGUAUCGACCCUUCCAGUGCCGUUGAAAAAAGCUAACGCGUUAAGUGUGCCGCCUGGGGAGUACGGCCGCAAGGUUAAAACUCAAAGGAAUAGACGGGGACCCGCACAAGCGGUGGAUCAUGCGGUUUAAUUCGACGAUACGCGAGGAACCUUACCAGGACUUGACAUCUAGCUGCACGCUCCCCGAAACGGGAGAAGCCUUAGAGGGUGCUAGACAGGUGCUGCAUGGCUGCCGUCAGCUCGUGCCGUGAGGUGUACCCUUAAGUGGGGUAACGAGCGCAACCCUCGUCCUAUGUUAAAUGUACAUGGGAGACUGCCGGCGCAAGCCGGAGGAAGGUGAGGACGACGUCAAGUCAGCAUGGCUCUUACGUCCUGGGCGACACGCAUGAUACAAUGGCCAAUACAAAGGGUAGCCAAAUCGCGAGAUGGAGCUAAUCCCAUAAAGUUGGUCUCAGUUCGGAUUGAAGGCUGCAAUUCGCCUUCAUGAAGUUGGAAUCGCUAGUAACCGCGUAUCAGCCACGACGCGGUGAAUACGUUCUCGGGUCUUGUACUCACCGCCCGUCACACCACGAAAGUUGGCAACACCCGAAGCUUCUUUGGUUAAUUAAGGGAGUUAAGGUGGGGUCAGUGAUCAGGGUGAAGUCGUAACAAGGUAACCGUA
rnacentral:rRNA from 1 species